UCGGGAAUUUUGGGCAAUGGGGGAAACCCUGACCCAGCAACGCCGCGUGAAGGAUGAAGUAUUUCGGUAUGUAAACUUCGAAAGAAUAGGAAGAAUAAAUGACGGUACUAUUUAUAAGGUCCGGCUAACUACGUGCCAGCAGCCGCGGUAAUACGUAGGGACCAAGCGUUGUUCGGAUUUACUGGGCGUAAAGGGCGCGUAGGCGGCAUAACAAGUCACUUGUGAAAUCUCUGGGCUUAACCCAGAACGGCCAAGUGAUACUGUCGCGCUAGAGUGCAGAAGGGGCAAUCGGAAUUCUUGGUGUAGCGGUGAAAUGCGUAGAUAUCAAGAGGAACACCUGAGGUGAAGACGGGUUGCUGGGCUGACACUGACGCUGAGGCGCGAAAGCCAGGGGAGCAAACGGGAUUAGAUACCCCGGUAGUCCCUGAGCGGGCUGGCAAGGCGCAU
rnacentral:rRNA from 1 species